rnacentral:rRNA from 1 species
UACGAAGGGGGCUAGCGUUGCUCGGAAUGACUGGGCGUAAAGGGCGCGUAGGCGGCUUGCACCGUCAGAUGUGAAAUUCCUGGGCUUAACCUGGGGGCUGCAUUUGAUACGUGUGGGCUUGAGUGCGGAAGAGGGUCGUGGAAUUCCCAGUGUAGAGGUGAAAUUCGUAGAUAUUGGGAAGAACACCAGUGGCGAAGGCGGCUCACUGGCCCGGUACUGACGCUGAUGUGCGAAAGCGUGGGGAGCAAACAGG